GGUUCGGUAGCUUUGUUUAGUCCCUGUUUUGCUGGAGUCUUGUGUGCAGUCUGCCCUUGGUAUUGUUCUCUGUUGCUCUUAAGUUGUUUAGUACCAGUAUGAUUAUGUUAGUCUGUUAUAUUAAAACAUUGGUUUGAUUUAGUUUCUCUUAUUUUCUCCUUCAUCUAGUAACCAUAGAAAUUUAUAGGGGAGAGAGUCAUCUCUCACACAACGCAACAGGAGUGAAAAGAUGUGUGGGUCUAGACUUCAUCUUUAUUGUUUGAUUAAAAAAAAAAAAGGAGUAUAUAUCUAUUACUUGAUCCAUUUUACAUUAUUUUCUCUGGUUUUUGCUGAAGCCAGGUGAAUAGCUGAGUGUCAUAUGGUUGAAAUAGUAUUUACAGAGUUAUAGGCUACCAUGCUUUAAUCCUACUGAUGACUUCACAAUCAACUAUUGUCUAGGGAGGGAGAGAAGUACCAUUUUUUUUGUUAGCAAGAUUUUCCGAUUUAAGUAAGUAGAAUUUGACAUCUCUUUGAUGCUGCAUUUUGAGAGACGUGUUUUAUGUUAUGUAGUAAUCAUUAUUAGUAUAGGUUAUGCUUCUUGAGUAUGAUACCACAUAGGAGACAGUUUUGUACAUGCAAUUUAGUAUUCCUAAGUUUGGUUGGUUGAGCCAUUUGAUUUAUUCAAAGCUCCAGUAAGAUUUGGUUGUGAGUUGUAUUCAUUCUGUGUGGAAUUCAUGUAUAUAUAUAUAUAUAUAUGUAUAUAUAUAUUUUAAUACUUGUUCUGUGCUUGAUUACUACUUCUAUCCUAUUUGAUAUGUUUCUCAUAUAUGUGUUUUGAGCUUGAUUUGUUUUAAGAGCUGUGAUAUUUUAUUUUGUGAUUUCAGUAGCAUUAUAUAAUAAGUUCUAUUGUCAAAUUUUUCUUAACUUAUAAAUUUCUUGACUAAGAACCUAAGUAGCAUCAACUAGUUAUUAGUUAAACAACAGUUUGGUUGUUUAUUUUUAUAAGAUGGCUGGAAUAGAAGGACAUGACAAUAGUACUUCUGGAGUUCUUGAAGCCAUACAGGACAUGGCUAGUGCGAUCAGGAAAAACAAUAAUUCUCAUCAAGAAGAUGCUGGAGGAAGAGUUAUGAGGAUUCAAGGAGAAUUCCGCAAGUGUCAACCACCAAUAUUUAAGGGAGUUCCUGAUCCAAUGGCUGCAGAGGAUGGAUACGUCAGAUUAAGAGAAAACUGAAAAAUCAAAGGGUUCCUGAAGAACUAAAGGUAGAAAUUGCUUGUACUUAUCUGGAAGAACAAGCUUACCAUUGGUGGGAAUCUGUUUUGAGUAUGCCAGAUACAGAGAUUACAACUUGGGAUGCUUUUGAGAAUAUUUUCCUAGAGAAAUAUUUUCCAAGUACGGUGAAAGGGAUGAAGGCUAGGGAAUUUGUUAAUCUUGUUCAAGGUGAGCUGUCCAUAGCUGAUUAUCAAGCAAAAUUUGAAGAACUGAUGCGUUUUGCACCGAAUAUGAUUCUUGAUGAAUAUACUAAAGCAAAGAGAUUUGAAGAUGGUCUUAAGCCAAUGAUUCGGGAAAAGGUGGCAAUUCUGAAAUUGAAUAGGUAUGCUGAUGUGGUGGAACGAGCUCUUAUAGCAGAACAGAGUGUUUUAGAAUCUUUGAAGACAUUAGAUUUCAAAAACCCAAGUCCACCCACAAGCGAGUCUCAAAGGGAAGGACAAAAUGGUAGACAGCCUAAACCUGAUUUUCCCUCUUAUAGGCAAACACAGAGGUUAGAGAGGACCGCUCAAGAUCCCCGAGUUUGUUUCCAAUGUGGAAAAUUUGGACAUAUCCAAAAGAACUGCCCACUGUUACAAAUCCGUGCCCCACAACGUCAUACAUAUGCUCCUUACCCACCUCAACAGAAUUACCAGAGGCCACAGUAUGGUCAACAUCCUAGACAUCAAGGAGGAGUACCUACUCAAGCUAGGCCAAAUGGACCAACAAGUGGAAGACAACCUGCACAACUCGCACAGGGUCGAGUGUAUUGUUUGGGUCAAGUUAAUAAUCAGACUGAUCUCGAAAGGGUGGAAGGUAUACUUUUAGAUAAAAUGUGACUUAGUUAAAUUUGCUUUCCUAGUCUAAAUUCACAUGCUGAGCAGUUUCUACUAUUAAUUGAGUUUUUCUUAGAUUUAUUCAUUAUGUAGAAUUGUCUUUAUGGAGUUGUGCCAAAAGCAUACGGGAUCUUGUAGUCACUAAAUUGUUUUUUUUGAACAAAUGUUUUUCCACUUAAAUGAAUUUUGUUGACACUGUUGUAGGUAAAUUUCGGGACGAAAUUUUUUUUAAGGAGGGUAGAAUGUAACGACCUGUACUUUUAAUAAUAUUAAGAAAGUAAGAUAUAGUGAAUAUUUUAUUUUUGCUUGAGUAUUAACUUAUAUUCUUAAUUAUGGGUGUGUGUAUAUGUAUAAUUAUUUUAUGGUGUGAUAUAUAUAAAUAUACACACACACACAUCACCAAGACGUGUUGUUUAGAUAUAAGUAUACAUGCUAUCUCUAUAUUUUUAGACCAGCCCAUUAUUUGUUUUAUUUAUUUAUUUUUUUAAAGCCCAUUAUUUGUUUUUUUUUUUUUUAAACCCAAGUUAAUUUUAAAAGCCCAAGACCAAUUGAUUUAUACUUCUGUUGGAUGUCGUUUAACGACAAACCAAUCUCAAAACCCUCGUCUGCUACCUUCAUCGUCUUCCUCCCCUAUUUUUCUCCUUGCAAGCACCACUCCACCUAAACCAAAGGAUCAGUACCACUACGAUAGACCACCCAUAUAAGAAUAAUCUUAGAAGCUGGAGGUGUCGAUGUUGCUGAAGAGCCUUGGAGAGUCAGUUACCAGAGUUGUGAGUCAUCAAAGCUAGACGCAGGAGGUGGAUCCCUAGAAGCAUGUGGUGGAGACCUAGAACCAGGAGGUGGCAGUCCUUAUCGAAACAUAGAGGAAGCCGAUAGUGUUGGCAUCCAAAUCUACUCUCUGUUGUGCUUAUCUAGAAUUAAAAUAUGACCUCUUUGCCAUACACUAUAAAUAUCCAGGUUUGUUCUACUUUCUUUAUUGCGUUCCCCUAUAUUUGUUUACAAAAAAAAAGGGAGUGAGGGAAGGAGAAAUUUUGAGACUAAGGAGGAACCUGAGAAGUAUAAACUAAUUUCCGAAACAAGGUACUGAACAUGAAGUUUAAUUUUCCCUUUUGAAGAGCUUGUGAUUAAUAUGAAGGAAGUGUGAGACUUGUUUUGUUUAGUUUCCUAGAAUAAGAGCAAAGGCUGCCAGUUUGUAGUUUGCCUUUGAAGUAUAGGUUUGAAAUUUCUGUGGGAAUAAUGAACUAUCAAGAAAGUUUGUACUAUAAUUGUGUUUGUUGUAUUAUAAAGUUCUUCUUUUUUUUCCAUAA